GAAGUGCGAUAAGCAGUGCGAAUUGCAGAACCGUGAGUCAUCAGAUUUUUGAACGCAACUGGCGCUGGCUGGGUCUCCAGCCAGCAUGCUUGUUUCAGUGUCUUGUUUUCUCCUCACCCAUAUCAUAAUGCGAGAGAUGCCCUUCUCUUGCCAAGUAUGAAAGCACUCUGUGCUCUGCGAGCGGAGACUCGGCUUCGGUCGGGUGCCGCACUCAAUGCAGCCGUCACAUUGCUCACAAUGUGAACUCAUUGAGAGUAGAGGCAGUGCAGCAUUUUGCUGCCAGUGCUUAGUCAACCAAACUCUCCUUGUAUCUGAAAUCAAGCAGGAUCACCCGCUGAACUUAA
rnacentral:misc_RNA from 1 species